UACGUAGGGACCGAGCGUUGUCCGGAUUCAUUGGGCGUAAAGAGCUCGUAGGCGGCCACUCAAGUCGAAUGUGAAACCUCGAGGCUUAACCUCGAGCCUGCAUUCGAUACUGGGCGGCUAGAGUCUGGUAGGGGGAUCUGGAAUUCCUGGUGUAGCGGUGGAAUGCGCAGAUAUCAGGAGGAACACCGGUGGCGAAGGCGGGAUCCUGGGCCAGUACUGACGCUGAGGAGCGAAAGCCAGGGGAGCGAACGGG
rnacentral:rRNA from 1 species